UGCCUAUCCACAGUGUGUCUCCCAAUAUG
rnacentral:piRNA from 1 species